GGGCCCGCACAAGCGGUGGAGCAUGUGGUUUAAUUCGAUGCAACGCGAAGAACCUUACCAGGGUUUGACAUGCACGGAUUAACCCUGUGAAAGCAGGGCCACGCCUUCGGGUGGAACGUGCACAGGUGCUGCAUGGCUGUCGUCAGCUCGUGUCGUGAGAUGUCGCGUUAAGUCGCUUAACGAGCGAAACCCUUGUCUCUAGUUGCCAGCGAGUAAAGUCGGGGACUCUAGAGAGACCGCCGGUGUUAAACCGGAGGAAGGUGGGGAUGACGUCAAGUCCUCAUGGCCCUUAUGGCUAGGGCUGCACACGUCCUACAAUGGCACGCACAAAGGGAUGCUAACUCGUGAGAGCACGCAAAUCCCAAAAAUCGUGCCCUAGUUCGGAUUGCAGGCUGCAACUCGCCUGCAUGAAGCUGGAAUCGCUAGUAA
rnacentral:rRNA from 1 species